GACGAACGCUGGCGGCGUGCUUAACACAUGCAAGUCGAGCGGUAAGGCCCUUUCGGGGGUACACGAGCGGCGAACGGGUGAGUAACACGUGGGUGACCUGCCCUUAGCUCUGGGAUAAGCCUGGGAGACUGGGUCUAAUACCGGAUAUGACUCCAUGACGCAUGUUGUGGGGUGGAAAGCCUUGUGCGGCUAGGGAUGGGCCCGCGGCCUAUCAGCUUGUUGGUGGGGUGAUGGCCACCAAGGCGACGACGGGUAGCCGGUCUGAGAGGGCGACCGGCCACACUGGGACUGAGACACGGCCCAGACUCCUACGGGAGGCAGCAGUGGGGAAUCUUGCGCAAUGGGCGAAAGCCUGACGCAGCGACGCCGCGUGAGGGAUGACGGCCUCGG
rnacentral:rRNA from 1 species